rnacentral:rRNA from 1 species
GACAGAGGAGCCAAGCGUUGUCCGGAUUGACUGGGCGUAAAGCGCACGCAGGCGGAUGCGCGCGUGGGGUGUGAAAUCUGGCCGCUUAACGGCCAGGCGCCAUCCCAUACGGCGCGUCUGGAGUGAUGCAGAGGUCGAUGGAAUUGCCGGUGUAGUGGUGAAAUGCGUAGAGAUCGGCAGGAACACCCAGGGGGAAACCAGUCGACUGGGCAUCUACUGACGCUGAGGUGCGAAAGCGUGGGGAGCGAACCGG